rnacentral:rRNA from 1 species
UAGGCGUAAAUGAUGCGAGUUAAGUGUGGGGCGAUCUACGAGAUGGCCCUGUGCUGUAGGGUAGCCGUUAAACUCGCUGCCUGGGGAGUACGGUCGCAAGGCUGAAACUUAAAGGAAUUGGCGGGGGAGCACCGCAACGGGAGGAGCGUGCGGUUCAAUUGGAUUCAACGCCGGACAACUCACCAGGAGCGACGGUUACAUGAAGGCCAGGCUGAUGACCUUGCCUGAUUUUCCGAGAGGUGGUGCAUGUCGUAGUCGUGU